rfam:Schistosoma curassoni strain Dakar, Senegal genome assembly, scaffold: SCTD_scaffold0008518
AUCCAUCUGAAACGUUUCAAAUAGGACGAAACGUGUGUCCUGGAU